UAGGACAUACUCGGAGACGGUGCCCGCCAAGGGCUCAAUAGGGAAGACGGUGCGAAUCCGUCGCGGUCCCGCCGCUGUAACCGGGGACGAAAGCCGCUAAAUAAGCCACUGAUUGGAAGGCGCCAGGGCCAGCCGGCCCAGGAAAAAGCGCCAGAGCCAUUCGGGAAGGCGCGGCCAGUAGGACGAUCCGGGAGCCAGAAGACCUGCCGACUCCAGAUACGGAAU
rnacentral:ncRNA from 1 species